rnacentral:rRNA from 1 species
AUGGUUAAGUUAGAAAGGGCGCACGGUGGAUGCCUUGGCACUAGGAGCCGAUGAAGGACGGGACGAACACCGAUAUGCUUCGGGGAGCUGUAAGCAAGCUUUGAUCCGGAGAUUUCCGAAUGGGGAAACCCACUGCUCGUAAUGGAGUAGUAUCCAUACUUGAAUACAUAGAGUAUGAGAAGGCAUACCCGGGGAACUGAAACAUCUAAGUACCCGGAGGAAGAGAAAGCAAAUGCGAUUCCCUGAGUAGCGGCGAGCGAAACGGGAACAGCCCAAACCAAGAGGCUUGCCUCUUGGGGUUGUAGGACACUCUAUACGGAGUUACAAA